GCUACUGGCUGUGCCUCCUUGUUGCCUUCCUCACCACCACCACCACCACCACCACCACCACCACAGUCGCCGCCGCCGCCGCCACCAUCACUACCACUACCACCACCCCCGCUCCGCGGGAUCGUGAUACAGGGACGUCUCUAUUCCCGAAAAACAAAGCCUAGCUGAGAUCGUUAUGUCGAUGGAAAAUUCCGCUUGAUAUAUCCUCAAGGCGACGAAAUGUCUUGGGUCGAUACUGUAUACUCUUACCCCUUACUCCGAGCCGGCUGCUCACGACCGGAGCACCGACCAUGGAAUGAGCCGAAUAGGAGGAGUAGAGAUAGAUAAAGAGUGAGUGAGUGAGCAAGCGAGCGAGCGAGUGAGUGUGUGUAAGAGAGAGAGAGAGAGAGAGAGAGAGAGAGAGAGACUGGUGAUGAGAAAGAGAAGAGAGGAAGGAAGGAGAGGUAAUACAGAGCGAAAGAGUAAGAGAGAGAGCAAGAGAGAGAGAGAGAGAGAGUGAGGAUAUCGGGGGGAGGGGAAAUACAACCUGUAUAUAUGCAUACUCGUAUAUACGUACACGUAUAUACAUCGUAUAUACACCGAAGGUAAAUUCAAUUAUAACGGCGUCAAACGGCGUACCAUGUUUGGAUGAUUUUGUUAUUACCAUUCGUAUCUGAAACGUAUCAUAUCGUAUCUCUUACAAUCGUAUAAUCUUUUUUGUAUGAUGGAAGAAGAAAGAGAAAAGAAAAGAAAAAAAGAAAGGAAAGAAAAAAAAGGAAAAAAGAAAGAAAAAAAAGAAAAGAAAUGAAAAGAAAAAAAAGAAAAGAAAAUAAAUAUAAAAUAAAGCGUAUCAGAAAUGA